AUUCUUCAACAGUGCCUCUGCUACAUAUUCUGCAGACAGUGGUAUGCCUCAAGGACUGUCACCAUGUUCCAGCUCUAGAAGGGGUGACCUAAAGGCCAGGAUAACCUGUGACUAGGUCAUACUAAAAAUGACAUUUCCCACAUUUUCUCCAAGAGCUCAGAUAUCAUCAAAGCCUUUACCAAGCAUGAUUCAAAAACUGUGACGCUUUCAUCUAAACAGCUUGAGCAUUCCG